rnacentral:rRNA from 1 species
GAUGAACGCUGGCGGCGUGCCUAAUACAUGCAAGUCGAGCGAACGGGCGAGAAGCUUGCUUUUCUGGUGUUAGCGGCGGACGGGUGAGUAACACGUGGAUAACCUACCUAUAAGACUGGGAUAACUUCGGGAAACCGGAGCUAAUACCGGCUAAUAUUUUGAACCGCAUGGUUCAAAAGUGAAAGACGGUCUUGCUGUCACUUAUAGAUGGAUCCGCGCUGCAUUAGCUAGUUGGUAAGGUAACGGCUUACCAAGGCAACGAUGCAUAGCCGACCUGAGAGGGUGAUCGGCCACUCUAGAACUGGGACAUGGUCCAGACUCCUACGGGAGGCAGCAGUAGGGAAUCGUCCGCAAUGGGCGAAAGCCUGACGGAGCAACGUGGAGUGAGUGAGGACGGUCUUCGGAUCGUAAAACGCUGUUAUUAGGGACGAACAGAUUUGUAAGUACCUGUGCACAUCUUGACGGUACCUAAUCAGAAACCCAAGGCUAACUACGUG